CAGAUUAUAAAUUAAAAGUAAAGGAUAUUAUAAGUAUACAAAAAUAAGAAUAUUAUUAAGAUGAUAUUCUGGAUAAUUUCGUGCGCUUUUUCUGUACUGCGCGUCGAAGAAACAUUAGAUUAUAAAGAAACUAAUAUUGUUUAAUUGACAUUAAUUAAAUAGACUAUUCCAUUAAAUUUCGUAGAUACUAAUUUAUUCACAAGAACCCACCGGAAGACUAAUCUUAAUAUAUUUCUGAGAUAAAUUAACAGUUUAAAAGAUAGCAAUUAUUUAUUGGAUAACUGGAGCACGACUUCCUCUUCGUCGUCGAGACAGACGUUAUUUUCACCACCUCGCGAGAGAAGCGAAAUACAAGAGUGCGUUUUCUUAAUGCUGGUUAUUUAAACUCGCAUGCACGCGUUACAAUGUAAAACGUUACAAUGGACCGUACAUGUCACGUAUCCUCAAAACAAGUAAUACAGUUUGGCCGUGGGGCGGCAUAAGUACGGCAUCCCGCCGACCGGUUCGCUCAACUAAUCGAUUUUUCACAUAAUCCUUAUCGCGGAGUAUUAACGUCGCUGGACCAUUCUCGUGGCCGCUCUCGGCUCGGCCCGUUCACCAUCCCUCCGACGAUAUGCUCGUGUAUCUUCCCUCGGGCGAGCGGCGCGCAACUCCUACGAUAUCGGUCAUUAAAUUAAUCGGAUAUAUCCGGCCGACUUUCGCGGUCGGCCGUAAAAUUAAGCGGCGAAUCGAACGUACUUCGCCGGCACGAAACCGAAAAUAACCUUCAUUUUCGGCGCGAGCUAAAAUUUGCGCUCAUCUGUCUCCCUCUUCGCCAUUUGCGGAUUCUCAAAUCCAUUCUCAAUUAAUUUAGACUCAGAUAAAAUUAAUUCCAGUCGGAUGAAAGACACUGGAAUAUCGAUAAUAACGCCAAAGUAAUAAUUAAACUCUGUAAUAAUUUAAUAUUAAUAAAGUAAAAUUAUGAUCUCUCUGAGUGUAAGUUAAUGCGGAAUUAAUCGACGGGUUGCUGACGAGAAGAAAGUAAUUUUUCGUUGGUAACUCAUCAGUAUAGCGAGCCACUAAUCGUGACAGUGGAAACGAGUCACGGUUGGUCAGACCCGGGCAGGCGGUCGUCCGGUCAGGUCGGGCUUUACCUCCUGAAUAAAGUAACUUCGACGCCCGGACAGGUAGGAUCCCGCCUCGAGCACGAGCAUCGCUUUUGCCGCAUUUCUACGCAUGCACUGGUAAAUAACGUGUUUGCGCGUUCACCAGCCCACUAUCGGCGACUGCUACCGCAUUGGCUAUUUUCCUAGCCGACGCGGCGAUGCUCACUUAGCCGUGAGAAUUGCAAAAGUAAUCCCCACGAAAACAAAUGUUAUUUCACAAGCUUAAUUAUUACGGGAUGAUUGAAAGAUGGAACUGAAACGCAGCCAUGUUCUAAUUUAGGACAGAUAUUUAUCAUAUAAAAAUAAUUAUAACUUUGCUGAAUUUGAUAAUUCUCUAAGAUUUUAAGUAAACAAAAACAAGUAAAACAGAAACAAGUGCGCGAGAGAACAUUCAUUAAAAAUUCAAAUGUUAUCUCUUGCAAAGUAUUUCUAAAGUUCUGAUAUGUAACGUUGUAUUUCAUUUGCGGUGUUUCUUAUUUUAACUUGGUAUGAGGUAAUCAGUUUAAUAUUUUGAAAUACAUAAUUCGUGAAUUUUCGUACAUUAUACAUCUUGCAAAAUUUUUAAGUUUGCUAUGUAAUACACAAAGUAUUUGAUAUAAACUCAAAUAAAAAUAAGAAUAGAAGAUAUAAAUUUAUAUUUUUCGUCUGUGUCACUCGGAGCGACGCGAUUAAUAGCGAUAUUGAAAUUUUGUUUGGUAAUUUAAUUAAAUGUUUUCUCAUGAUAUUUGUUUUCUCAUGAUGGGUAAUCAAUAUUCUAAAUGUGAUUUUUGUCAACAAAAUUCAACAGGAGUGUAUUAUAAUAGAAUGUAAAAAUUUGAAAAUAAUUAAAAAUAAGUCAAUUUACAUCUAUUUUAAUGAAAAUAAGUUACAUCUUUUCCUUUUUUUAAUAGAUAUAUUUACAGAGUUAAUUCAUCGAAAUUUUGUUAUUAUUUGUUAUUAUAAUAUAUAGUUUAUAGAAAAAAAUAAGUUGACAAGUUUGUAAGCGUGUUAAAACAGAAGCUGCUUGUCUAGAUUGAUACUUCGCGCGGAAGAGAUCGAAGCGAUAGGAGAUGAAAAUUAUAACCUGUCAUUGUAAUAUACAUUUAUAGACUGUAAUUACUCUUUGACGAGGCUUAUUUCCAGCGAGAAAUAAUCAACACCGACGUCAUUAACGAAUGUUAUAUUCACGCUACGAAUUUUCGUUGAUUAAAGUAACUUAAAACACGAAGAGCAGAAUAUUCGAGGCACAUUGAAUAAAAAAAAAACAUACCUUAUACAUUUCAUGUAAAACAUAAUAAAUGCAGCCUUGGUGUUGGUUUUUGUUAAGUAUGCGGUAGCACAAGGCCGCCGCGCUAUCAUUCGCAGCCUUGAGGAAACGUACGUUGCUCUCCCCGCAUAUGUCGUCGCGUUUCACCUCGGGAUGCGGAAAACACGCGGCAAAUCGUAGCAAAGGCACUAAUCAACGAUCGUUAUAUUUAGCGAUCGCGCAACCUCGAUUAAUUGACUAACGGAAUUAAUAAUUGACGAUAAUACAUGAAGUCACUUAAUUAAGCAGGUAUUGUAUUUAGUCACGUGAUUUAUUCAUCUGAACAGGACCAAUGAGGAAUCAUACAUUGUCGUACAAUAAUUUCUUUCUCGAUACAUUUUUAAUCCGAAUGCAUCAUGCAUAUCGCGUGAUAAUAAAUUUGCCACGAAAUAUAAUUCGUACGUUUCCAAUGUCGUGAAUCGGAACAUGAUAAUUAAUUGUACACCAUUUAAUUACACAUAUCUUAGUAAUAUCUAAAAAUCAAGGAACCGCACUGAAUAUUUCGGAUGAGUAUUAAUUCUAUUGUAGACGUGUAUUCCGUUUAUGAAUCUUGUACAUUUUUCCAACUUGCAAAAUAUUUGAAUUUGCCAUGUGAUACAUAAAGUAUUCGAUAUACACUUCAAUAAAAAUAAGAAUAGAAGAUAUGAAUAUCACUCGAAUGCUACAUGAAUAAUUGAAAUCUCACGUAGUAAUUGGGUGGAAAAGUCGUUUGGCGGGCUUUUACGCGGCGCAGCGCGCCACGCGGAUUUGCGGUCGCAAGGUCGUGAAGUUAUCAGCGAAUGACGGGCGCGGACCGCUUUUCCCGCGCUCGCGUUAGCCGCGUCAUCGCCGUGCCGUUGUCUUUCGCGACGCGAUCGUGACAACGCGAGUGAGUGUCAGAUGAAAGCGUUUCUCUCUUUCUCUACGUACGAGCGGUGAUCGCCAACCGUGCAAUUAGUUUCCACGAUCGAUGAACGACGUACACGAGUGUGAUGAACGGCAAUUCGUCGAUGCAACGUGACGAAGCGAGCGCAAUUUGCGUACCGUGAAGCACCGCGCGAGCGUAUCUUCGGGAGUGUUCUCUCGAGUCGAAAUUUCCACUCCAACUUUCGAUGUUCGAUCGGACGGAUGUCAAUUUACACCUAUUUUGAUACACCACAUUUGAUUCAUCACUCGAUUAGAUCCUCUUCGGAUCUAUCGACCGUAAUAGAGCCACUAUCUGUGGAGAGUUUUAAGAGGUUUUGCUGGUAAGAUCUUUUUAACCUCAAAAUCGGAAAUGUUUACGACAACCGACAACAUUUCGAAGCACAAAGCAGGAGCUUAGCUCCCAUGGUUAUAAUCCGUUGGAACCUACAUGCAUAGUGGAAUUGAAAGCAGGAGAGAAAUGUCGACUCGGGAUGCGAUCGUGCGAUUUUCCGGGAGUGUUGUGCAAGCUCAACGAGGAACACUUGAGGGGACGAGGAGGAGGCCGGGGAGGCAUUGGGCAACGGCGGAGCAACCGUGAGGUAAGUAAUUUAAUAUCCAUUUAUUUUAUUUAAUUUUUUAUCUCGGAAUGUGUGUGUAUUUAGAGACACCUGAGGGGAGGAGAGGAAGGAGGCCGGGCAGACAUCAGGCGACGAUGGAGCAAUCGUGGGUUCAAUGCAGUCUGCGACGCAAUUUAAAAUCCUAUUGCUGCGAUUGGUGAGUCAAAUAAGAUUUAAAUUUGUAUGCUUAAAAGUAGUGAGCUUAUGAAAAAA